UUUACAGUAGUACUGAGCCUUAAUCGGACCAAAUGCAUUUCCUUAUAUGGCUGGUAACUAUUGUGAUUCAGGCUCAUUCCUAACUUGCACAGUGCUGUGUCAGCGCUGGAGAAACGUCUGGAUGCACGAGUUGACAUUCUGGGAUAGGGGAAAAAAACAUUCCGGCUUGUUUGAAUUUCUUUAAACCAAUCGCAAUCGCCUUGGGCGGCGCUAAGCUCCAGAUGCAGCGACAGUGCCCUUGCAAAAUAGAUACCGGAGAUAGCGGGGAGGAGAAUGCCUGCAGAAAUAUGCAGCCAAUGGCAGUCUUUAUCCUAACAGUCUACAUCCGUUUUCCCCACUCACUCGGUGGAUUCAUCCUGCGGCCCCCACUUUAGUUUUGGUCAGUGCUCCCGUCUCCCGGCGUAGCGUGUGUGAUGUGUAGACGGCCUGUGAGUUCAAAUAGCCAUAAACAAAAACAACAAAGACAAUAUGAGAAAGCAGAAGCACAUAUAUACCUUCCGUAUUACUUACAACUGUUCCUGUUCCAGAAGGAAAACUGAUGUGACAUCGGUACACAUUACAUUGUGAGUUGAAUGGGAAAACGUACCACAAAAUGAAGAAGACACUCAAAACAUUGAGAACAUCCAUAUAUACAGUACAGUAGUAUGCUGUGAAUGUAAUAAAAUAGGAAUUCUUAUGCUUUUGAAUUUGCAUUGACUGUUGAUUAGGUUCACAAAAGCAUACAGAGGUGGAUUU